UACGAAGGGGGCUAGCGUUGUUCGGAAUUACUGGGCGUAAGGGCGCGUAGGCGGCGUGUCAAGUCAGGCGUGAAAGCCCCGGGCUCAACCUGGGAACCGCGCUUGAGACUGGCAUGCUCGAGUUCGGGAGAGGAUGGUGGAAUUCCCAGUGUAGAGGUGAAAUUCGUAGAUAUUGGGAAGAACACCGAUGGCGAAGGCAGCCAUCUGGACCGACACUGACGCUGAGG
rnacentral:rRNA from 1 species